CCUACGGGAGGCUGCAGUGAGGAAUAUUGGUCAAUGGUCGUAAGACUGAACCAGCCAAGUCGCGUGCAGGAUGACGGCCCUAUGGGUUGUAAACUGCUUUUAUGCGGGGAUAAAAUGCGUUACGUGUGCUGUUUUGCAUGUACCUCAUGAAUAAGGACCGGCUAAUUCCGUGCCAGCAGCCGCGGUAAUCCGGAAGGUCCGGGCGUUAUCCGGAUUUAUUGGGUUUAAAGGGUGCGUAGGCCGUUUGUUAAGCGUGCCGUUAAAUGUCGUGGCUUAACCAUGGAACUGCGGCGCAAACUGGCAGGCUUGAGUGCGCGUAACGUAGGCGGAAUUCGUGGUGUAGCGGUGAAAUGCUUAGAUAUCACGAAGAACUCCGAUUGCGAAGGCAGCAUACGGCAGCGCGACUGACGCUGAAGCUCGAAGGCGCGGGUAUCGAACAGGAUUAGAUACCCUGGUAGUC
rnacentral:rRNA from 1 species